AAAUUAGCGGAUGACUUGUGGCUGGGGGUGAAAGGCCAAUCAAACCGGGAGAUAGCUGGUUCUCCCCGAAAGCUAUUUAGGUAGCGCCUCGUGAACUCAUCUUCGGGGGUAGAGCACUGUUUCGGCUAGGGGGUCAUCCCGACUUACCAACCCGAUGCAAACUACGAAUACCGAAGAAUGUUAUCACGGGAGACACACGGCGGGUGCUAACGUCCGUCGUGAAGAGGGAAACAACCCAGACCGCCAGCUAAGGUCCCAAAGUCAUGGUUAAGUGGGAAACGAUGUGGGAAGGCACAGACAGCCAGGAUGUUGGCUUAGAAGCAGCCAUCAUUUAAAGAAAGCGUAAUAGCUCACUGGUCGAGUCGGCCUGCGCGGAAGAUGUAACGGGGCUAAACCAUGCACCGAAGCUGCGGCAGCGACACUAUGUGUUGUUGGGUAGGGGAGCGUUCUGUAAGCCUGCGAAGGUGACCUGUGAGGCAUGCUGGAGGUAUCAGAAGUGCGAAUGCUGACAUAAGUAACGAUAAAGCGGGUGAAAAGCCCGCUCGCCGGAAGACCAAGGGUUCCUGUCCAACGUUAAUCGGGGCAGGGUGAGUCGACCCCUAAGGCGAGGCCGAAAGGCGUAGUCGAUGGGAAACAGGUUAAUAUUCCUGUACUUGGUGUUACUGCGAAGGGGGGACGGAGAAGGCUAUGUUAGCCGGGCGACGGUUGUCCCGGUUUAAGCAUGUAGGCUGAUUAUCCAGGCAAAUCCGGAUAAUCAAGGCUGAGGUGUGAUGACGAGGCACUACGGUGCUGAAGUAACAAAUGCCCUGCUUCCAGGAAAAGCCUCUAAGCAUCAGGUAACAUCAAAUCGUACCCCAAACCGACACAGGUGGUCAGGUAGAGAAUACCAAGGCGCUUGAGAGAACUCGGGUGAAGGAACUAGGCAAAAUGGUGCCGUAACUUCGGGAGAAGGCACGCUGGUGUGUAGGUGAAGUCCCUGCGGAUGGAGCUGAGACCAGUCGAAGAUACCAGCUGGCUGCAACUGUUUAUUAAAAACACAGCACUGUGCAAACACGAAAGUGGACGUAUACGGUGUGACGCCUGCCCGGUGCCGGAAGGUUAAUUGAUGGGGUUAUCCGUAAGGAGAAGCUCUUGAUCGAAGCCCCGGUAAACGGCGGCCGUAACUAUAACGGUCCUAAGGUAGCGAAAUUCCUUGUCGGGUAAGUUCCGACCUGCACGAAU
rnacentral:rRNA from 1 species